rnacentral:rRNA from 1 species
GACGAACGCUGGCGGCGUGCUUAACACAUGCAAGUCGAACGAGAGGCGAACGGGUGAGUAAUACGUGUGUAACCUGCCCUCUUUUUGGGAUAAGCCUUUGGAACGGGGUCUCAUACCGCAUAGUGGGGGAUGGGCUCGCGGCCUAUCAGCUUGUUGGUGGGGUGAUGGCCUACCAAGGCGGUGACGGGUAGCCGGCCUGAGAGGGUGACCGGCAACAGUGGGACUGAGAGACGGCCCAGAGUGGUACGGGAGGGAGAAGUGGGGGAUAGUGCAGAAUGGGGGAAAGCCGGAUGCAGCGAAGCCGCGUGGGGGAUGAAGGCUUUCGGGUUGUAAACCUAUUUCGCUAGCGAACGGGUAGUUGGAGAAGAAGCGCCGGCUAACUACGUGCCAGCAGCCGCGGUAAUAC